GAUUGAAGGUUUGAUUGUUAAUUUUUGUGAGUGGAAGAAUUUCCUUGGUCAGCUUCCUAUCACUUAAUGCGUUUGAUAGUAAAAUGUUAUGAUGGAUUAAUCUCACAUCUAUCGAAUGUGGGAAUACUUUGGUUAAGAAAAAAAAAAAACAUAUGUGUACAAAAUUUCGAGCAGUGUUUACUGAAUAAAGUGCUGCUAACCAGGGUGGUGACGGACUGACGGUUCAGAGCUACCUUCUACAUACCAAUAUACCUGUGAAAGCUAAGUUACACUUACGUUUGCCUGAAUUAAAUGUAAAACCAAACACCAUUGUGUUGCAGUUUGGUUCCUCUUUCUUACUACUUCAUCUCAUUAAACUAUGAGCCAACGAACCUAGUCAAACAAACAGAAAAAGAAAAAGUAAUCAAAAGCUUUAUUUAUAUUAUAAUAUCAAGUUUCAAUGCCUUCAUCAUAGUACAUUCUUGGCAACACUGCAACAAAUCAUCAAACUCAAAUGAGAAUUCCAGUUCUCUUAUAUCAUCACUCACUGGUCACAAGAGAUUUCUUUUGAAUUUCCUAAAACUCUUCGCCUUGUCCAUCAACUCUCUUCCUUGCAUUGAGAAUUUCCUUUCCAAAAUCCUCCUAUCAUCAACAUGCAUGCUCUCAAAAAAUUGGUGGGGUGUUGACUAAGGAAUCCCCUUCAAACAGAAUUGUCAAGGAAGCAUGGCCAGUUCUGAAAACAAUGAGCAUCCAACACUAUUAGAAGCUGAGGAACAAUCAUAUGGUGAGCCCUUGCAUACAAGAUUCCAAAGACUUGCAUCCAACACACAAAGUGCAUCAUGUUCUAUCUCCAUUGAGUCAUAUGAAAAAGAAACUAGUCUUGUGAAACAAAGGAGUGGAACUGGAAAUCUUUUGCAACAGAGUAUUUGUUUAACCGGAAACAAACCAGAGGAAAGCAACACAGGUUCGAUUUACUCGGAUAAAAACUAUGAUAGAAAUAAUGAAAAAUUACUGAGAUCUAGGCAAGUGGGAAUUUGUAAUGAUCCUUGUUUCACCACAUACGCAACUAACUCCAAGGCUUCUCACUCUCAGCUAGUUUAUCCAAAAGCUUCGACUAUUUCUGAUUCGAAGUUCCAUAAUGCUUAUGGAGAUGCCAAAGGUUUUGCGAGAAAUCAUAAUUCAUUCUACUCUUCUUAUGUUCCUGGAGUCAUGAACCCUCACACUAAGUUCAUACAACAAUGGAACAAGGUCUUGGCCAUUUUUUGCUUGGUUGCAAUUUUUGUGGAUCCACUAUUUUUCUUCUUACUCUAUGUGCAACGGGAUUUUAAUUGUAUUGCUAUCAAUUGGAGAUUGACAAAAGCACUUGUUAUAGUCAGAAGCAUAAAUGAUUUUAUAUAUUUCUUUAACAUUCUUGUCCAGUUUAGGUUGGCUUAUGUUUCUCCUGAGUCGAGGGUGGUUGGUGCUGGAGAUUUAGUUGACCAUCCAAAGAAAAUCGCUCUUCAUUACCUGAAGGGUUAUUUUUUUAUUGACCUGUUUAUUGUGUUUCCUCUUCCUCAGAUAAUGUUAUUGUUGGUCCUACCAGAAUCCAUGAGGGGAGCAAAUUAUGCUAAGAACCUUCUGCGUGCGGUGAUCCUAGUGCAAUACAUUCCCAGAUUAUUCAGGUUUCUUCCUCUGCUAAUUGGACAGUCCCCAACAGGAUUCAUAUUUGAGUCGGCCUGGGCGAAUUUCAUUAUUAAUCUUCUCAUCUAUAUGCUUGCUAGCCAUGUUGUUGGCUCUUGCUGGUACCUCUUUGGUCUGCAGAGGGUUAAUCAGUGUUUUAGAAAUGCCUGCCACAGUUCUAGUGUACCUGGAUGCUUGAGAUUCAUUGAUUGUGGGAUUGACCAUGAUAGAAACUAUCUCCAAGGCCCCAAAUCAGAACAGUGGAACAACAAUACAGAUGCUAUUGCUUGUUGGGGUUCCCCUUCCACUGGUUCUUUUGAUUAUGGGAUCUAUGGCAAUGCUGUGCCUCUUACUACAAAAACAGACAUGGUUACCAAAUAUGUAUUUUCUCUAUUUUGGGGAUUCCAGCAAAUCAGUACUCUGGCUGGUAAUCUAACACCAAGCAAUUUUGUGUGGGAAGUCCUUUUUACUAUGGCCACCAUUGGAUUGGGACUCUUGCUAUUUGCACUUCUCAUUGGAAACAUGCAGAAUUUUCUUCAAGGUCUUGGACGGAGGAGACAAGAAAUGCAACUUAGACGACGUGAUUUUGAGCAAUGGAUGAGAUACAGACGAUUACCCGAAGAUCUAAGAAGGAGAGUAAGGCAGGCUGAACGGUAUACUUGGGCUGCGACACGGGGGGUGAAUGAAGAAAUGCUUAUGGUGAAUCUUCCAGAAGAUCUCCAAAGAGACAUUAGACGUCACCUCUUCAAAUUUGUUAAGAAAGUUCGAUUAUUUUCCCUGAUGGAUGAGCCCAUCUUAGAUGCCAUUUGCGAGAGACUAAAACAAACUACAUACAUACAAGGAAGUAGAGUUCUGAACAAGGGUGGUCUGGUAGAGAAGAUGGUAUUCGUGGCGCGUGGAAAAUUGGAGAGCAUUGGAGAAGAUGGAACUAGAGUUCCAUUAUCUGAAGGUGACGUUUGUGGUGAAGAACUUCUGACAUGGUAUCUUGAGCAUUCUUCUGUCAGCACAGAUGGGAAAAAAAUUAAACUUCCAGGACAAGGGUUGCUCAGCAGUAGAACAAUAAAGUGUUUAACAAAUGUGGAAGCAUUUUCACUCCGGGCCGCAGACCUUAGAGAAGUCACACUUCUGUUCACAAGAUUCUUGCACAGUCCUCGUGUUCAAGGAGCCUUGAGGUCAUUCCCUUGUUCUGUAUCUGGAUUUAGGUUCAGGCGUUCAGCAUAAUCUUCUUGACCAAAUUAGUGAAAUACAAUAAUGAAUAACUAAGACAACGAGCCUUGGCGCAACAGAUUCAACUUCAUCUUCCACAUGAAAAGAGAAGGGGAAUUUUACAGGUAUGAAUCACCAUAUUGGAGAUCCCUUGCAGCAACACGCAUUCAGGUUGCAUGGAGAUACAGGAAGAAACGUCAAAAUCGCGCUCAUUCGUCAUUAUCAGGUUGAACAUUGAGGAAGUGGGUUGUACUUGUACAGUUACUAAUGCAGAACCUGUGUAGAAGAUUUAAUUUUCAGUUCGAUUAGGAUUCAUAUCAAAAUUUAAAUUGUUUCAAUAUAAUUGUAGGAAGUGGUUCGUCACCUCAUUCCUUAACUAUGAAGAUUUGAUAUGGCUCAUAAAAAUUAGAGCACUUUUGGUGACUAUUCAUUUACCGUUUAGUGCGAACAUCUACACUGCAUUGUGAGGAUAGGUCGAUGUCGCCAGUCAUUUACUGUUUCCAGCCUCUUAAUAUAUACUCCUUGGAGGGAAGUUUUUUAUU